AACGCUGGCCGGCGUGCAUAACACAUUCAAGUCGAACGAAGCACUUUGGACAGAGACUUCGGUCAAAGUCCGAUUUGACUUAGUGGCGGACGGGUGAGUAACGCGUGAGCAACCUGCCUUGAAGAGGGGGAUAACACAGGGAAACUUGUGCUAAUACCGCAUAACGUACGACGGUCGCAUGGCCGAUGUACCAAAGCUCCGACGCUUCAAGAUGGGCUCGCGUCUGAUUAGAUAGUUGGCGGGGUAACGGCCCACCAAGUCGACGAUCAGUAGCCGGACUGAGAGGUUGAACGGCCACAUUGGAACUGAGAUACGGUCCAGACUCCUACGGGAGGCAGCAGUGGGGAAUAUUGGGCAAUGGGCGAAAGCCUGACCCAGCGACGCCGCGUGAGGGAAGAAGGUCUUCGGAUUGUAAACCUUAGUCAACAGGGACGAAGCAUGACGGUACCUGUGGAGGAAGCCACGGCUAACUACGUGCCAGCAGCCGCGGUAAUACGUAGGUGGCAAGCGUUAUCCGGAUUUACUGGGCGUAAAGGGUGUGUAGGCGGGACGGUAAGUCAGAUGUGAAAACUAUGGGCCUAACUCAUAGCCUGCAUUUGAAACUGCUGUUCUUGAGAGUCGGAGAGGUAAAUGGAAUUCCCGGUGUAGCGGUGAAAUGCAUAGAUAUCGGGAGGAACACCAGUGGCGAAGGCGAUUUACUGGACGACCACUGACGCUGAGACACGAAGUGUGGGGAGCAACAGGAUUAGAUACCCUGGUAGUCACACUGUAACGAUGAUGCUAGGUGUAGGGGAGAUAUUCUUGUGCCCAGCUACGCAUAGCNUCCCCUGGGAGUCGGCC
rnacentral:rRNA from 1 species